CCUACGGGGGGCAGCAGUGAGGAAUAUUGGUCAAUGGGCGGAAGCCUGGACCAGCCAAGUCGCGUGAGGGAAUAAGGCCCUACGGGUCGUAAACCUCUUUUGCCGGGGAGCAAGGGCCGGGACGCGUCCCGGCCCGGAGAGUACCCGGAGAAAAAGCAUCGGCUAACUCCGUGCCAGCAGCCGCGGUAAUACGGAGGAUGCGAGCGUUAUCCGGAUUUAUUGGGUUUAAAGGGUGCGUAGGCGGGCUUUUAAGUCAGCGGUAAAAAUUCGGGGCUCAACCCCGUCCGGCCGUUGAACCUGGGGGC
rnacentral:rRNA from 1 species